UCCACCCACCCCACUCUCUCCCCCUUCUUCUUAAGUCCAGUACCAAGGUCAUAUCUGCAUCAUUAUAAUACACUGUAUAUCAAAACGAUAAUCAUUACUAACCAUGUUCUUCACUCCAUGUUUCCUGCUCUUUCUUUUUGGAUUUUCCAGCUUUCAGUCCAGCACAAUGGCACACAAUGCAAAUGGGGCCAACUUAUGCUGUUUUGAAUUUCACAAAAGACCGUUCCCUGCAGCAAACGUUGUCUCAUACUUAAAAACAAGGAUUGACUGUACAAUUCCUGGCAUCAUUUUUAAGACAAAAAGGGGUUUUCGUU